GUGGGGAAUCUUAGACAAUGGGCGCAAGCCUGAUCUAGCCAUGCCGCGUGAGCGAUGAAGGCCUUAGGGUUGUAAAGCUCUUUCGUGGGGGAAGAUAAUGACUGUACCCCAAGAAGAAGCCCCGGCUAACUCCGUGCCAGCAGCCGCGGUAAUACGGAGGGGGCUAGCGUUGUUCGGAAUUACUGGGCGUAAAGCGCACGUAGGCGGACUGGAAAGUCAGGGGUGAAAUCCCGGGGCUCAACCCCGGAACUGCCUUUGAAACUCCCAGUCUUGAGUUCGAGAGAGGUGAGUGGAAUUCCGAGUGUAGAGGUGAAAUUCGUAGAUAUUCGCAAGAACACCAGUGGCGAAGGCGGCUCACUGGCCCGAUACUGACGCUGAGGUGCGAAAGCGUGGGGAGCAAACAGGAUUAGAUACCCUAGUAGUCC
rnacentral:rRNA from 1 species